CCUUAUGGUUGUAAAGCACUUUAAGCGAGGAGGAGGCUCUUCUAGUUAAUACCUAGGAUGAGUGGACGUUACUCGCAGAAUAAGCACCGGCUAACUCUGUGCCAGCAGCCGCGGUAAUACAGAGGGUGCGAGCGUUAAUCGGAUUUACUGGGCGUAAAGCGCGCGUAGGUGGCUAAUUAAGUCAAAUGUGAAAUCCCCGAGCUUAACUUGGGAAUUGCAUUCGAUACUGGUUAGCUAGAGUAUGGGAGAGGAUGGUAGAAUUCCAGGU
rnacentral:rRNA from 1 species